AGUCUCAGUUCGGAUUGGAGUCUGCAACCCGACUCCAUGAAGCUGGAUUCGCUAGUAAUCGCGCAUCAGCCACGGCGCGGUGAAUACGUUCCCGGGCCUUGUACACACCGCCCGUCACACCAUGAGAGCCGGUAAUACCCGAAGUCAGUAUCCUAACCGCAAGGAGGGAGCUGCCGAAGGUAGGAUUGGCGAUUGGGGUGAAGUCGUAACAAGGUAAC
rnacentral:rRNA from 1 species